UUGGCAUGGUGGAGACACUACUGAACCAGGCCAAGCUCUAAUUGCUGUUUGUUUGUUUGUCAGAUCAUCUAUGUGAUGCGUAAUCCAAAGGACGUCAUCACCUCCUAUUACCACUUCAGCAGUAUCGCCUCCUACAUCGAGACUCCCAAGAGCUUUGAACACUAUUUGGAUCAGUUUCUGACUGGCAACGUUGGAGGGUCGUCCUGGUUUGACCACAUCAGAGAGUGGCAUUCAAAGAAAGACCAGUACAACAUCCUCUUCCUGACCUAUGAGGACAUGAUCUUGGACCUGAAGGCAGCAGUAACUAAGAUCUACAGUUUCUUAGGAAAACAGCUCAGUGAAGCAGCCAUUGAUCAAGUUGUAGAAAAAGCCACAUUUAAAACCAUGAAGAAAGACCCAAAAGCCAACUAUGAAUUUGUAUCAAAAGACACCAUCAGUGGAAACUUCAUGCGCAAAGUGGCUAUAUAAGCAGCCGGGGCUAAGGAGUCCACUGGUGACCAACCCAGAGGAGAGGGAGACGGCUGUCUGCAGUGUGUGCUCUCACGCUACCACCACAUUAAAGUCUCAAGGAAUUGUAGCAUAACAAGUGGAGACAGACAAAUGGCAGAGUCAAGGAAGGAACUAGAGGAGGCCUUGUGCCGCUACACCACAGAUACCCUCAUCUACAUCGACACAGUAAGAGGAUUCUGUGAGACGAUCUCUAAAUGGAUGCUCAGGAGUGAGACAGAAUUACACAUGAUGAUGGACAUCAAAGACAGGGCUGACAAAAUCGACCUUAACAUCAACCAUGUUAGAAAGUCAAAGAGCAAAGGCAAGGCCUUUA